CCCAGAGGUAUUGAUAGGUGAUGUCAGCAUCUAAUGCUGAUCACAUGAAUUACACCAACCUGCGCGGAUGCGCAGGUUUUUUUU
rfam:Buttiauxella agrestis ATCC 33320 GBAG.assembly.057, whole genome shotgun sequence.